ensembl:lncRNA
UUUAAGUUUAGUUCUUUCUUCCAGUUAUACUAUGUACUAUCAGUUUUGAUAUAACUAUAUAUAUAUAAAUAUAAAAUUAUAUAUAAAAGGUUAUUUGAAACCAAUCCAUGGCAACGCUGGUGCUUGAUACACUGUGAAGUGAAUACAACAUUGAACAGUUACAGAUCUGGGACAGUCCCUUCUAUGAAAGUGCUGAAAUUAAAUUAAAAUCAGUCUUACAUGAAGUAUGUUCCAACCCACGUGGGAACUUGACUCUCAUCUGUCUAAAGAGUACUGGAUGAUACGAAAAUAUAUAUUUUUUAAACAAUGUGAUCUCAAAUUUAAAGACUGCUCCAGAUAGCCUGCAUUUGUGGUGGAAAGACUGACAAAUCACAAGUGGUUUAGUUGGGAGGGCUUUGAUCAUUCGAAAGUAACUAAACUAGCUCCAGAAUGCCAAGUAUUCGUGUAAAUUACGGUUACAUGUUCACUUUGCUCUUCUUACAUAAGCACUCAUGAAAAUAUGGUAUUCUGUAACUCGAAUUCCAUCCAUAUUCCAGACCUCUACUCAUGUCUGAGGUAAAUCGAUAAAUUGUCUCUCAGUUUUAGGGUUCAAACUGUCUAACUUGUACUUUUGGUCCAUACAAGAAGCAAAUCCCUGUUUCCACUUUGCGCAUGGUGUUUUGUUUAAUCGAACUUUAUUUGCCUCACAGCCCCUUGUUUCCCUUACCAUUCAGUGAGAAUUCUUUUCCUUUCUUUAAGUCUAGUCUUGUUGUUUGACUGAACAGAGGUUAUCAACCAACACAUCCAGUCCCCAGUCCUGACAUGAAGCUUUUCAGUUCCAUGAUGUGUCUCGGUUCCCUGCUGUGGGAAGGAACGCAAGAGGUGAAGAAAUGGUUGAGGGGCUGGCAGCUAGAGUUGCAGGGAAAGCUCCUACUUCCUGUGAGCUUUUACUUCCUCAACACAAAGACAGCUUGAGUAAACUCUUUUAUAAAAAGAUUCUUUUCACUCUUUUUUUUUUUUUUAGAUGCCUUGCAAAAAAAAAAAAAAAAACGUGUAAAAGACCACUAAUAUGAACCCACCCCUCCUCAUUAAAAAAAAAAAUGUUGCUUUGCUUUGUUUGGAUUUAGGAUCUCUCUUCUGUCUGACUCUUACAUCCAUAUUCGCAGAGUUCGUAGACUUGAGAGUCAUUUCAAGCAUGGGAACUUGAUGUCACCUUCCUUUAUUCGACCUGGGAGGGCAGCAGAUUAGUGGUUUGGUGUGAAAAACCUGGUUUGCUUAAGAAUAGAAGUAACUUCUAUGUUUUUGGGCCCGUCCUUUAGCUGCUGUUGUGUAUUGUGUUAUGAUAGUGAGAUGAUAGGUACUUUAGACUUUUAAUUUCCGAAAUGGAUGACAUCCCUCAGGCAUGUAUUCUGGAAAUGGAAUUCCUGUAACUUCCUGCUUUUGCUACCCUACAAUUAGUAGGCAGCGUGUAAAAACACUAGUGUAGAUGAUAAAAGGUAUAUAUUGAAAGAGGACCAGAAAUACUUGGUAUUCAGCGGCACAGUAAGCAGGUUAUAAAAGCAAAACAAAAGCACAGUGUUAAUGCUUGCAAGUUUCCAUUUGUUUUAAUGCCACACGAUCUUUCAUACUCGUGCGUGAGCUCGCGCACACAGAGCUUACCCAACCUGCUCUGCUUGAGUCAUGCAGUUCAAAAAGCAAAAAAAAGGUAAAGACAUCCUGAUACCCUCAAAAUACUUUCAAUCAAAAUCUUUCAGUUUUAAUCUGGACGUUUAAAACAUUGGCAGAAGCUUCUGUGAGUUUAGUUCCACUAAGAUGUUUCACCUGCCUUAUCAAGACCAUUCUCAGUCUACUUUUUUAAGCUACCGUAUCUUAAAUUAUUGAAAAUUUAUUAAUUGCUGAUAUAUAAUAACCUUUGCUUGUAUGUAACCGAAAAUGGUUUAAGAGCCAACAUUUAGAGUAUGACAAUGGAGCUGAACAGUUUUUAAUGCGCAAGCAGUUCUGUUCUUGUGUAUGACUUGUAACCUUAAUUUACUGUGUAAAGAUGGUUACAUUAUUUCCUUAGCUUUGUUUGUUGGAGACAAAUAGAGAAUGCUUGUUAAGUAUGUCAAAACAUAAUCUUAUCUUGUGAAUUUUUGUUAAUGUAUUAUACGAGCUAUAUUUUUCAUUUGCUCAGAAAGACAGCUUGUAUAACGCUUUUGGAAGUUUCUGCUCUGUAAUGUCUUUAGAGCUGACAGUCUGUUAGGUUUGUUUUUUUCUUCAUGCUAAAGUGUCAGUGGUUUUGUGAACUGGUCAAAUUCACAGGUCUUAAAUGUUUGGGGGAAAUUUAUAUUGGACACUGCUCUUUGUCUAGCAAAUAAAAGAUGUUAAUAUAUUCCUGUUACUGGCAUGUGCACGACUAUGUUAUUAGAAGCCACUUUAUCGUUUUCCUGCUUUAAAUAGAAAUGUCUAUUUAUGAAUUCUGCU